GAGAGAAGCUGAGGGCUUCAAGCAAUGAGAUUUGAGCCUACCUCCCUUCAUCAAAAGUGCAGCUAGAAAAACUUGGAGAAGCAACCAGAACGGGAGUUGGGAGGGUAAUACUUUUACAUCAAAACAACACUAGCUUUAUUGGCUGUAAUAAGAGCAAAGUAGAACCUUCCACUUCUAUCUUUGUCACCCUGCAAUUUGUCCCUGACCC
rnacentral:lncRNA from 1 species